rnacentral:rRNA from 1 species
UACGAAGGGGACUAGCGUUGUUCGGAAUUACUGGGCGUAAAGCGCACGUAGGCGGAUUUGUAAGUCAGGGGUGAAAUCCCGGGGCUCAACCUCGGAACUGCCUUUGAUACUGCAAAUCUCGAGUCCGAUAGAGGUGGGUGGAAUUCCUAGUGUAGAGGUGAAAUUCGUAGAUAUUAGGAAGAGCACCGGUGGCGAAGGCGGCCCACUGGAUCGGUACUGACGCUGAGGUGCGAAAGCGUGGGGAGCAAACAGG